rnacentral:rRNA from 1 species
GAUGAACGCUGGCGGCGUGCCUAAUACAUGCAAGUCGAGCGAACAGACGAGGAGCUUGCUCCUCUGACGUUAGCGGCGGACGGGUGAGUAACACGUGGAUAACCUACCUAUAAGACUGGGAUAACUUCGGGAAACCGGAGCUAAUACCGGAUAAUAUAUUGAACCGCAUGGUUCAAUAGUGAAAGACAGUUUUGCUGUCACUUAUAGAUGGAUCCGCGCCGCAUUAGCUAGUUGGUAAGGUAACGGCUUACCAAGGCAACGAUGCGUAGCCGACCUGAGAGGGUGAUCGGCCACACUGGAAGUGAGACACGGUCCAGACUCCUACGGGAGGCAGCAGUAGGGAAUCUUCCGCAAUGGGCGAAAGCCUGACGGAGCAACGCCGCGUGAGUGAUGAAGGUCUUCGGAUCGUAAAACUCUGUUAUUAGGGAAGAACAAAUGUGUAAGUAACUAUGCACGUCUUGACGGUACCUAAUCAGAGAGCCACGGCUAACUACGUG